rnacentral:rRNA from 1 species
AGCGAACGCUGGCGGCUGGCCUAACACAUGCAAGUCGAACGAAGCCUUCGGGCUUAGUGGCGGACGGUUUAGUAACACGUGGGAACGUACCUUUUGGUUCGGAACAACUCAGGGAAACUUGAGCUAAUACCGGAUGAGUCCUUAGGGGGAGAGAUUUAUCGCCGUAAGGACGGCCCGCGUUAGAUUAGCUAGUUGGUGAGGUAAAGGCUCACCAAGGCUACGAUCUAUAGCUGGUCUGAGAGGAUGAUCAGCCACACUGGGACUUAGACACGGCCCAGACGCCGCCGGGAGGCAGCAGGGGGGAAUCUUGCAGAAUGGGCAAAAGCCUCACGCAGCCAUGCCGCGUGACUGAUGAAGGUCUUAGAAUUGUAAAAUUCUUUUACCAGGGACGAUAAUGACGGUACCUGGAGAAACAGCCCCGGCUAACUUCGUGCCAGCAGCCGCCGUAAAAC